rnacentral:lncRNA from 1 species
CUGCUAUCAGCCACUGUUUUCCUGGGGAGAGACGCUGUUAGGAUGCUGUCAGUACAAAUCCCCUGACCUCCAAGGUUCACAAGGUCAUCUUCUGAACAAGAUCAUUUUACAGGUGAGGAAACUGAGGGGAACAGGGUUACAUGGCUUAUCCAGGGUCCCACAGCUGGUAAGUAU